GUGUUGCUAACCUGGCUGCCCUUUUGCUCUGCUCAUGAAUGCUUUCUGCUGCACUGGAAGCUCUUCGUUUGUUGAUCUCUCACUGCUGGGUCUUCUUUUUCCUCAACCCAACUGCUUUAUUUUUACUCAUGACAUGGAAAAGUUCCUCCUGUAUCUUUCUUGCAGCUCACCUUUUGGAAACAGAUUGACAUGGAUUGGUGGCCUUUGCUUCCUGUUCCUGAAGAGUGACUUAUGCUUGUGCUAAGAAUGAGGUGCCAAGGACAGCAACCGAAUGGCUUCAGAAUCAGGCUCCCACUCUUUUGGCCAUGGCAACAGGAGAGAAGGAUUCACAGGAACGAUCUGAACCUCAGAUAGCCUUUGGAGUGAUGGGAUGGAACCCAGAACCUCCUGCAUGCUAGGCAAGUGCUGGACCAGUGAGAUACAUCCCCAGUCUGCUGG
ensembl:lncRNA